rnacentral:lncRNA from 1 species
UUUUGUAAACGUUUAAAACACAAUUAUAACUCUACCUCUGUUGAGAAUACACAGUGAUACACACAAAUACACAUGGAGCUUCUGAAAUAUACAAGCGAAGAAACAACCUCAUCUAAACUUCCUGCAAGAGCAAAUCGAAUCUUUGAAGAUCAAAAAUAAACUUGUUGCAAGAUCAAAUCGAAGUUUUAAAGAUCAAAAACGAAGGUAUGAGAAGGUAAUCUAUGUAAUUUCCGUUUGACAAAGUUAGGGCUCUGAUAUAGAGUAUUUAGAUUCAUGUUUUAUUAAAGAUGUUUAUGAGAUAAUACCUUAUUUUCAUUUGUUUCAGGUCGAGGGAAAUCAUCAUUGCAAGAUGCUAAGGAGAAAAAGUAUGAAAAGGAAUCCUAUAUCGUAUAUUUUGUUUUUAUUUUUUGUGUUCUCUAAUAAAAUAUAUCUGAUUUUUUGCGUAUCAUGUAUUUCUUUUAAUUUUAAUUUGAUUUUGAUUGUAUAUUGGAAUCAUGACUUAUUAUAUUGUAGAAUAUAUGCCGUUGUAGAAUAUAUAAUAAAUUUAUUUGUUUAUUUAGACAUUUAUUACUUGAAUCUAUUUUGGAAGCUUGUAUUUUAUCUUCGUUGUUCAGUAGUAGAAUACAUCCAUUAUUUAUACAAUAGAAUACUUUUUGUUCUACAAUAGAAUAUAUUACUAGUUUAUCACAUUUGUUCUACGGUAGAAAAAUUCAUAGUUUAUACAGUAGAGUAUUUUCACUUUUGCAGUAGAAUAUAUUACUAGUUUAUCAAAUUUAUUCUUCAUUAGAAUAAAUCAUUGUUUAUACCAGAGAGCAUAUUACAUGUGUAAUGUGAUUGUUUUAUGUUUGUGUUAUAUAAUAUAACACUUUUUACUUAAACUAGAGAGCAAAUUACUUGUGUAUUGUAAAUGUAUUAAAUAUAUUCUAAUAUAGAGUACAUGUUUAUUAUAUUUUAUAGUAGAUACUUGAUCCCACUAAUUCUAUUAUAGAAUUCAUUCUUAAUUCUUAAUGCCACUUUAUAGUAGAUAUUUGGUCCCACUAAUUCUACUAUAGACUACAUUCUUAAAUCUUUUCACUAAUUAAUAAGCAGAUUGCGGAGACUAGAGUUGAUAGUGUAGGGGAAAUCUCAUGAGAAAUGACUAGAAUGAUAGUUUAUUGUAGUCAAUGAUUUGUACUAAUGAGAAAAUUAGUAAUACUUUUUUCAUAAUGCAGUAAUUAUAUGAACCACAUUCCUAUUGCGAAAACUAGGAUGUGCUAUUAUAUAUAUAUAUGCAGAUCCUGAGAUCCCCUAGUAAGCAGUGACUAACUACAAAUAAGUAAGAGAGGUCACAAAAAACAUACUUAUGUGUUUAAAAUGUAUAGCAACUAUGAUAAGUUUGGUUUGCUAAUAUUUAAGGGAUUGAUUCCAAAGAUUGGAACAUUAGUCUUCACAUUUUUCUAAAUGAAAACACUUAAUUGAUAUAUCUCUCUUUUUAAAGUAGAGAAAAACACUUCAAUGAAUGUCUUCAAUGUUAGGGCGUAAGAACAAUUGCGAUGUUGUGUGGUCAUGUUGCACCAAUAGUAGAUCUUGCUAUCUAUUUUCCUACCAGUAUUCUUGGAAAAGAGAAUAUAAAAGAUUUAAGUAAUGUGAUGCAGAACUCUAAAUCAGUUUAAAAUUAUGCACUUUUUAGAACUUGUUCUGAUGGUGUAUUGUGUGUGUGGAGCAGAGGCUGCAGCCAUUAUAGGCGCAGAAGAAAAUUGUCAUCUUGGAAGGCAGUCCAUCUAUGGUCCAAGCUUGAAAAUCAGGGGUAUGUUUGUUUUGCUUGUUCUUUAAUUGAUUCAGCUCAUUUAUCUGAAGAUCACUUGCAGGAAUCUGCGGAAGUAGGGGAGGCAUUAAUGUCACAUGAAUGCAAACUGGAAAGCCUCCUAAGUGCAACAUUGUUAUUGUUGAUUCCGAUAGUCUACCCAUUGUACAAACCAUUUUUCAUGGUAAUUUGUCUAUUACGUCUUUAAAGUUCAUGUCUAUGAUCUUGCCUGUUGGGGAUAUUGAGACACAAUUCAAAGUUAAUGUCUGUAAUCUUGCCUAUUGAUGAUAUGAGACAAAAUUUGUGGUUAUGAUUGACUCAUGAGGCCUAUAAAUAGUAUAUUCAUGUUAUUUACCAAGCUAACAUGUGCAUAUUCGGAAGUGUAGAUGCCUCCCAAGAGUUUGAAAGAUCAUAAACUAAAUAACAAUGUUGAUAGCAUGACGAAUAUACUCGAAUGUUGCCUUUGCUAACUGGAAUGAGAGUUCUUAAGAGCAUACAAAGUGAAAGUUGAGAAUGAGAUGGGAGCAGGAAAGGUUGCAGAUGGAUAUGAUUUAUUG